AUACGUAGGUGGCAAGCGUUGUCCGGAAUUAUUGGGCGUAAAGCGCAUGUAGGCGGUUUGGUAAGUCGGUCGGGAAAAUGCGGUGCUUAACGCCGUAUGGCGAUUGAAACUGCUGAACUUGAGUGCAGGAGAGGAAAGGGGAACUCCCAGUGUAGCGGUGAAAUGCGUAGAUAUUGGGAAGAACACCGGUGGCGAAGGCGCCUUUCUGGACGGUGUCUGACGCUCAGAUGCGAAAGCAAGGGUAGCGAACGGGAUUAGAUACCCCGGUAGUCCUGGCCGUAAACGAUGGGUACUAGGUGUGGGAGGUAUCGACUCCUUCCGUGCCGGAGUUAACGCAAUAAGUACCCCGCCUGGGGAGUACGGCCGCAAGGCUUAAACUCAAAGGAAUUGACGGGG
rnacentral:rRNA from 1 species